rnacentral:siRNA from 1 species
AAGUGAUGGAUUUAGCUAGUCGUA